UACGUAGGGGGCAAGCGUUGUCCGGAAUCAUUGGGCGUAAAGAGCGUGUAGGCGGCCUUGUAAGUCCGCUGUGAAAGUCCAGGGCUCAACCCUGGAAUGCCGGUGGAAACUGUCAGGCUCGAGUCCGGAAGAGGCGAGUGGAAUUCCUGGUGUAGCGGUGAAAUGCGCAGAUAUCAGGAGGAACACCAAUGGCGAAGGCAGCUCGCUGGGCCGGUACUGACGCUGAGACGCGAAAGCGUGGGGAGCAAACAGG
rnacentral:rRNA from 1 species